rnacentral:rRNA from 1 species
AGAGUUUGAUCCUGGCUCAGGACGAACGCUGGCGGCGUGCCUAAUACAUGCAAGUCGAGCGAACAUUUGAGAGCUUGCUCUCAAAUGUUAGCGGCGGACGGGUGAGUAACACGUGGGCAACCCGCCUAUAAGACUGGGAUAACUUCGGGAAACCGGAGCUAAUACCGGAUAAUUCACAUCUACUCAUGUAGAUGUGCUGAAAGACGGUUUACGCUGUCACUUAUAGAUGGGCCCGCGGCGCAUUAGCUAGUUGGUGAGGUAACGGCUCACCAAGGCCACGAUGCGUAGCCGACCUGAGAGGGUGAUCGGCCACACUGGGACUGAGACACGGCCCAGACUCCUACGGGAGGCAGCAGUAGGGAAUCUUCCGCAAUGGACGAAAGUCUGACGGAGCAACGCCGCGUGAGUGAUGAAGGUUUUCGGAUCGUAAAACUCUGUUGUUAGGGAAGAACAAGUACCAGAGUAACUGCUGGUACCUUGACGGUACCUAACCAGAAAGCCACGGCUAACUACGUGCCAGCAGCCGCGGUA